AGCAAAAAAUGGUCCCCCGGUACAAAAUGAACAGCUAGAACAAAGGCGAUCAGGUGUGAGGGGUGGAGGUCCCUACCCAAACACGAAGAAGUCGAUCCAAAGCGAACGGAUCUCCACCCGCGCCGGCUCGGCACCAGUGGACGGCGAGGAGGGGGGCGGUGACGAGGAAGCCGAGCAGAAAGAGGAAGAUAUGGCCGCGGAGACGCCCCCGAAGCGAGCGAGGAGGCUUCCCUGGAAGGGAGGGAGGGCGCGUGCCGUCGCCAAUGGUGUGGUGGCGCAGGCAGCGAACGCGGCCGCGCGGUGGAAGAAGAGAGAGAGAGAGAGAGACAGAGAGAGAGAGGAAAGUUCCUCCUGCCUACCUCAGCUUGGAGGAUUUCCCGGUUUUGCCCCUGGAUCCUUCCCGGCUGGCUAAAGUGCAGUUGGUGGCUUUUUU
rnacentral:misc_RNA from 1 species